rnacentral:lncRNA from 1 species
CUGCCACAAAUCUUCAAAACAGCCGCACUCCUCCAAAGUCAAAAGAGAAAAGAAAGAAAGAAUUAAAACCUAAAAUCCUAAGUGAAGUAAUCGUGUAGUGCUCAAAAGGGUUGACCAAAUAAAACUUAAAACUCUCCCUAAAUAUAUGUGGCUGUGUGGUGUUAUUCGAAAUUAAAAUCUAACACCAAUAUAUAUACCUAAUCUAUGUGGCUAUUAUGGAAACAAAAAUUAGGGAAUUAAUACUCCCUUAAGCCACCGCCUCUCUAAUCCUUACGGGCUUCGGCCCUUAAUAAAAUCAAACCCAAAAUACUUAAAAAUAUGAGUUUUGGACUUAAUUAAAUUUGGAACAAUUAUCUUCAAGCCCAAUCUCUAAAAUUCCUCCAUCUUUCAUGCGAUUCUUCAUAAAUUCUCGAAUUUCCACCAUCUCUUCCAUCCACGAGCCUCGACUCUCCUCCAUGCAAUUCCUACAUCAAUCACACCACAAAUUGGAUAAUAUCUCAUAAUAA